rnacentral:rRNA from 1 species
UACGGAGGAUCCAAGCGUUAUCCGGAAUCAUUGGGUUUAAAGGGUCCGUAGGCGGUCUAAUAAGUCAGUGGUGAAAGCCCAUCGCUCAACGAUGGAACGGCCAUUGAUACUGUUAGACUUGAAUUAUUGGGAAGUAACUAGAAUAUGUAGUGUAGCGGUGAAAUGCUUAGAUAUUACAUGGAAUACCAAUUGCGAAGGCAGGUUACUAUCAAUAUAUUGACGCUGAUGGACGAAAGCGUGGGGAGCGAACAGG